UUUCCCUACGGGAGGCAGCAGUGGGGAAUAUUGGGCAAUGGGCGCAAGCCUGACCCAGCAACGCCGCGUGAAGGAAGAAGGCUUUCGGGUUGUAAACUUCUUUUCUUAGGGACGAAGAAAGUGACGGUACCUAAGGAAUAAGCCACGGCUAACUACGUGCCAGCAGCCGCGGUAAUACGUAGGUGGCAAGCGUUAUCCGGAUUUACUGGGUGUAAAGGGCGUGUAGGCGGGACUGCAAGUCAGAUGUGAAAUCCAUGGGCUUAACCCAUGAACUGCUUUUGAAACUGUUUAUCUUGAGUGAAGUA
rnacentral:rRNA from 1 species